UUUGCCCUCGAAUAAUUGAUUGCAGAUUCUAAUUCUCAUUCGGUUCAGACAGGGGCAUAUAACAAUUUGAAUCCUUACUUUAUUUAUGAAAAGGGUGUUGCCUUUUAGCGUCCCUUACCUAGAUGGAUUCAUACACCU